UUUGGGGCGCUCUGGCUGGCGUGACAUGCCAGGCCCCAACCCAGAAAACUUCGACAACUCUCUUUGCUCGUUUUCUCACCCUAACUCGCCUAGAAUCGAACGGUUUCUUCCGAUAUCACCUGGAUUCGAUUACUUAACAUAGUUACAGUAUAAUCUACUCAAUACAACACUCAAAUUACUAAAUUUCAUCUCAAGAAAUCAUCAAAACC
rnacentral:lncRNA from 1 species